rnacentral:lncRNA from 1 species
UUUACCAAUUCCAGUAGGUAAUUUAGUUAUUCUAGCAUUUGACAAAUCCAGAACUUUUAUAACCGGCAUGAAAUGGAAGAAUCCACUCGGAAAUGUUUCCAGGCCUCCAUUCCUAACAAUUAAAGUCAAGAGAUUGGGAAAAGAUGGUGGUAUAGUGAGUUCUUCCAAACUACUUGUCGACAGGUAUAGCCGAUGUGCCUCUUUCCACUUUGAAACUUGGUAAACUUCCAUAGUAUCAACUUCUUCUACCAAGAUUAUGUUCUUAUUGCCCCUAUAUUCUGAAGCUAACCAUAAAGCCAUAUCACGAAUGACAUCAUGCAUUUUAACACUAUCAAAUUCACCAUUCUCGAAUAGACAUACUGUCUUUAGAUGCUCAAUGAUGUGGUGCCCUUGGUUUAAUGCUUCAUCUAUGCUAACAUAUUCAUCCAGAAACCCUUCUCCAAUCCAAAGGAAUAUAAGAUCCUGAUAAAAAAAUACAUGGUCCUCCGGGAAUAUAGCAAGAUAUAAAAAACAAGUCUUGAUGGUGUCAUUUGGCAAGUUAUCGUAACUGAAUUUGAGGACCGGAAAUACAUGAUCUCCCAUACCUGAAAACUUUGAUGGAUAAGUCUGCAACAUUAGUAUGGCUCGCUCCCAUUCUUGUGGUGUGCUCUUGCCGACCAUAGCUCUCCCAAUAGUGAUGAGUGCAAGUGGUAAACCUUCGCACUCUUUAGCAGCAGUUUCAGCCAGCUGGGGUAUAUCUGGAUGUGAAUUUAGAGUGGUCUCUCCAACCUUCUCCUUGAACAAAUUGAUGGCCUCCUCUUCUAUCAAACACUCAACCUUAAUGCUUUUUUGAGCUUCCAUAUCGCGACAAACAUCCAGAGAACGGGUUGUUAAUAUUACUUUGGACUUGUUUUGGGAAUUAGGAGAAGGAACCCCCACUUUUUGGAGAUGAAGCCGCUCCCAUACAUCAUCUAGCAGCAUCACAAACCUUUUUGCCUUCAAGACAUUGAAAAUUUCUGCUGCUUUUUCAUCCUCAGUUCUGUUUCUCCAUCUCUUAUCCGGGAUGUCUAACUUGUUGCGAAUGACUUCUUGUACUUUUUCCACACUUGCUGGCCUGGAUACUACAACCCAAAUGGCCACUUCAAAGUCAUUGCAUGUUUUGAAGUACUCAUUAUUGACUUUGGUCACGAGGGUAGUUUUCCCGGCACCCCCCAUACCAUACAAUCCAAUAAUUCCCAGUUGUUCAUCUUGGAUGCAUCUGCAAACCUCUGCAUACAUCCGAUCCAAUCCUACAGUCUUCUCAAUUGGCCGCUCAUCCACCGCAGCUCUAGGCAGCCUAUCAGCCACAUCGCUGAAACACCCUUUGCUCCUCAGUUUAGUGACGGCACCAAGCUUUUUACUUGUUAUCUUCCCCAUCUUGUUGCUUGACCGGCAGUUCUUGGGACAGCAGGUUCCGAGGCAUUUCUGCUGGAUUUCCUGAUCACCUUUCUGCAGUAUCUCCCUGACUUCCUUUUCCAAGACUUGUACUCUGUGGAGCCACCCAUCCACUUCAUGUGUCCGUCUCAUCUCGCGGUCUUCCUCAGCACGAUCCACCUUAUUCUUCACAUCUUCAGCCACGGUCUUCAGAUCCUCCAUGGCGUUUCUCAAAGAUUCAAGGGUUUCUUGCAGAUCAGUGAGAUAAGCAGCACGUUUGGCAGUGCAAUCCCAUAAACGAGAGGCAGCAUCAAGGAUUGGGCUCACAAAAUCCAUGGCUUGUAGGAGAUCACAGAAACAAAACUCAGAAAGAAGAAAGAGGAGAAAUCGGUGAUGAGUUGCUGAUAGAGGUGAGACUAAUGAAUGGUUGAAAUUUGUUCACAAAGCAAAAAAUCUAGUGUGGGGCACUUCAUUUAAGAGUUCAGCCUUAUCGUGGACUCCAGCACCCAUGAAUUUGGACCGUUUUAAGGGGAUUUUGAAAGUGAUUUUAAAAAACAUUUUUUUUAACAAUAUAACCAUUCAAAAAAUCUCCAAAUAAUUCCUACUUUAAUCAUAUGAUAACUCUUUUAUUAGGUGACAUUUUAUAAGACCAGUAAUUUUAUGGAGGAUAUUAGCACAAAGGGACAUCAUUUUUAAUUUAUUUUAGCACAAUGAUAAUCUUUUUUAAGAAGGAUUUUUUCAUAAUAAACAAAAAUAAAAGCUCGCCUAAAAAUGAUACAAAAACAAGUUCAAUAUCAUGUUUCUUAAAAGGGUUAUGCUAGGUUAUCGAAAAGUGCUUUUCCAUACCCACUUUUUUAGGCUAAUAGGGUAGAGACACAUGACAUGUAAAAUUAAAAAGAAAAAAAACAAAACCACUUCUUCAGGUCACCCAACCGGUUGCCAUGGGAAUUAAUCCUAUGCAACACACAUUGUUAGAUCUAUUACAUUAACCAAUUAUAAAUUUGUUUAAUGUAAUUAUUUUGUUUGGAAAAUUUUUUUUACGAAACAAAAAAACUAAAGAAAAAUUUGAAAAAAUAAAUUAUAGUUUAUUUAUUUUUGUACUAUAAAGUGAUUAAACCCCACAUAAAAAUUAAAUUUAAAAUAAACCAAAAAAAAAAAUAAUAAUUUGGUGAUAUAAUCUAUAAAUUAAGGAAAAGUAAAUUUAAUUUAUUUUAACAUCAAAUAAUUUGUUGACAAAAUUUGAUGAAUAUUUGAAGUGUGAAAAGCAAUAUAAUUGGUUUAUGAAGUUAAAAAAAUGGGUAAACUAGAAAUAAAUUUUAUAAAAUAUAUAUUAAAUUAAAAUUAAAUUAGUUGUGUACUAAUUAUUAAUUGAGAAUAUAUGACUAAAUUAUUUCUUAGCUUUUCAAAAAAAUUGGUUGAAAUAUUGAAAAUACGAAAAAAGGUAUAAUUACUAAUAAUAUGGAAAUCCAAACCCCUAAUUGAUUUUUUCGGUAAAUUUUCAUUUUGAAUUUUUCGAUCCAUUUCACACCCUCAAAAUGUACUGAAUUUUUUAGUAUUUUUGGAUUUGAAUUUUUCCGGAAAUCAUUUGACCACCUCCUAAGUGUAAUGAACUUAUUUAAACAAUAUCUAAGUCAUAUGAAGUCUCGAAAAUAUUUUAAAAACUUCAAACAAGUGGAGAAUUGGGAGGGUAUGAAGAAUGUGAGAAUUCCUCACAUUCUUCAUACCCUUAUGAAUUUUUUAAUAUUUUUGGAUUUAGAUUUUUCCGGAUAUCAUUUGACCGUCUCCUAAGUGUAAUAAACCUAUUUAAACUAUAUCCAAGUAAUAUGAAGUCCAAAAAAAUUUUAAAAAAACUUCAAACAAGUGAAAAAUUGGGAGGGUACGAAGAAUGUGAGGAUUCCUCACAUUCUUCGUACCCUUGCUAAUUUUUUUAGUAUUUUUGGAUUUGGAUUUUUCCGGAUACCAUUUGACCACCUCCUAAGUGUAACGAACCUAUUUAAACAACAUCCAAUCCAUAUGAAGUCCCAAAAAAUUUUCAAAAGUGCAAAGAAGUGGAGAAUAGGGAGGGUAUGAAGAAUGUGAGGAUUCCUCACAUACUUCGUACCCUUGUUAAUUUUUUAGUAUUUUUGGAUUUCGAUUUUUCCGGAAAUCAUUUCACCACAUCCUAAGUGUAAUGAACCUAUUUAAACAUUAUCCAAGCCAUAUUAAGUCCCAAAAAAUUUUAAAAACUUCAAACAAGUGGAGAAUUGGGAGGGUAUGAAGAAUGUGAGAAUUCCUCACAUUCUUCGUACCUUUGUGAAUUUUUUAGUAUUUUUGGAUUUGGAUUUUUUCAGAUAUCAUUUGACCACUUCCUAAGUGUAAUGAACCUAUUUAAACAACAUCCAACCCAUAUGAAGUCCUAAAAAAUUUUAAAAACUCCAAAGAAGUGGAGAAUUGGGAGGGUACGAAGAAUGUGAGGAUUCCUCACACUCUUCGUACCCUUGUUAAUUUUUCUGUAUUAUUGAAUUUGGAUUUUUCCGGAAAUCAUUUGACCACCUCCUAAGUGUAAUGAACCUAUUUGAACAACAUUCAACCCAUAUAAAGUCCCAACAAAUUUAAAAAACUUCAAACAAGUGGAGAAUUGGGAGGGUACAAAGAAUGUAAGGAUUCCUCACAUUCUUCGUACCGUUGUGAAUUUUUUAGUAUUUUUGGAUUUGGAUUUUUCCGGAAAUCAUUUGACCACCUCCUAAGUGUAAUGAACCUAUUUAAACUAUAUCCAAGCAGUAUGAAGUCCAAAAAAAAUUUAAAAAGCUUCAAAAAAGUGAAGAAUUGGGAGGGUACGAAGAAUGUGAGGAUUCCUCACAUUCUUUGUAUCCUUGUUAUUUUUUUAGUAUUUUUGGAUUUGGAUUUUUUUGGAUAUCAUUUAACCACCUCCUAAGUAUAACGGACCUAUUUAAACAAUAUCCAAGCCAUAUGAAGUCCCAAAAAAUUUUAAAAAGUGCAAAGAAGUGGAGAAUUGGGAGGGUACAAAGAAUGUGAGGAUUCCUCACAUACUUCGUACCCUUGUGAAUUUUUUAGUAUUUUUGGAUUUGGAUUUUUCCAGAAAUCAUUUCAACACCUCCUAUGUGUAAUGAACCUAUUUAAACAAUAUGCAAACCAUAUGAAGUCUCAAAAAAUUUUAAAAUCUUCAAACAAGUUUAGAAUUGGGAGGGUACGAAGAAUGUGAUGAUUCCUUACAUACUUCGUACCCUAGUGAAUUUUUUAGUAAUUUUGGAUUUAGAUUUUUCCGGAAAUCAUUUGACCACCUCCUAAGUGUAAUGAACCUAUUUAAACUAUAUCCAAGUAAUAUGAAGUCCAAAUUUUUUUUAAAAAACUUUAAACAAGUGGAGAAUUGGGAGGGUACGAAGAAUGUGAGGAUUCCUCACAUUCUUCGUACCCUUGUUAAUUUUUUAGUAUUUUUGGAUUUGGAUUUUUCCGGAAAUCAUUUGACCACCUCCUAACUGUAAUGAACCUAUUUAAAGAACAUCCAAACCAUAUGAAGUCCCAACAAAUUUUAAAAACUUCAAACAAGUGGAGAAUUGGGAGGGUACGAAGAAUGUGAGGAUUCCUCACAUUCUUCGUACCCUUGUUAAUUUUUUAGUAUUUUUGGAUUUGGAUUUUUCCAUAAAUCAUUUCACCACUUCCUCAGUGUAAAGAACCUAUUUAAACAAUAUCCAAGCCAUAUGAAGUUCCAAAAAAUUUUAAAAACUUCAAACAAGUGGAGAAUUGGGAGGGUACGAAGAAUGUGAGGAUUCCUCACAUUCUUCGUACCCUUGUUAAUUUUUUUUGUAUAUUUGAAUUUGGAUUUUUUCGGAAAUCAUUUGACCACCUCCUAAGUGUAAUGAACCUAUUCAAACAACAUCCAAACCAUAUGAAGUCCCAACAAAUUUUAAAAACUUCAAACAAGUGGAGAAUUGGGAGGAUACGAAGAAUGUGAGGAUUCCUCACAUUCUUCGUAUCCCUGUUAAUUUUUUUAGUAUUUUUGGAUUUGGAUUUUUCUGUAAAUCAUUUCACCACUUCCUCAGUGUAAAGAACCUAUUUAAACAAUAUCCAAGUCAUAUGAAGUCCCAAAAAAUUUUAUGGAAAUUUGGGAGGGUACGAAGAUGGAGGGAACAACACUUGUUAAGAAUCNNNNNNNNNNNNNNNNNNNNNNNNNNNNNNNNNNNNNNNNNNNNNNNNNNNNNNNNNNNNNNNNNNNNNNNNNNNNNNNNNNNNNNNNNNNNNNNNNNNNUCGUACCCUCGUUAAUUUUUUAGUAUUUUUGAAUUUGGAUUUUUACGUAAAUCAUUUCACCACCUCCGAAGUGUAAAGAACCUAUUUAAACAAUAUUCAAGCCAUAUGAAGUCCCAAAAAAUUUUAAAAACUUUAAACAAGUGGAGAAUUGGGAGGGUACAAAGAAUGUGAGGAUUCCUCACACUCUUCGUACCCUUGUGAAUUUUUUAGUAUUUUUGGAUUUUGAUUUUUCCGGAAAUCAUUUCACCACAUCCUAAGUGUAAUGAACCUAUUUAAACUAUAUCCAAGUAAUAUGAAGUCCAAAAUUUUUUUAAAAACUUCAAACAAGUGAAGAAUUGGGAGGUUACGAAGAAUGUGAGGAUUCCUCACAUACUUCAUACCCUUGUGAAUUUUUUAUUAUUUUUGGAUUUGGAUUUUUUCGGAAAUCAUUUCACCACCUCCUAAGUGUAAUGAACCUAUUUAAACAAUAUGCAAGCCAUAUGAAGUCCCAAAAAAUUUUAAAAACUUCAAACAAGUGAAGAAUUGGGAGGUUACGAAGAAUGUGAGGAUUCCUCACAUACUUCGUACCCUUGUGAAUUUUUUAUUAUUUUUGGAUUUGGAUUUUUUUCGGAAAUCAUUUCACCACCUCCUAAGUGUAAUGAACCUAUUUAAACAAUAUGCAAGCCAUAUGAAGUCCCAAAAAAUUUUAAAAACUUCAAACAAGUGGAGAAUUGGGAGGGUAUGAAGAAUGUGAGGAAUCGAAUGUGAGGAUUCCUCACAUUCUUCGUACCCUUGUUAAUUUUUUUGUAUUUUUGAAUUUGGAUUUUUCCGGAAAUCAUUUGACCACCUCCUAAGUGUAACGAACCUAUUUAAACAACAUCCAAACCAUAUGAUGUCCCAAAAAAUUUUAAAAACUUCAAACAAGUGAAGAAUUGGAAGGGUACGAAGAAUGUGAGGAUUCCUCACAUACUUCGUACCCUUGUUAAUUUUUUAGUAUUUUUGGAUUUGGAUUUUUACGGAUAUCAUUUUGACCAUAUUCUAAGUGUAAUGAACCUAUUUAAACAACAUCCAAGCCAUAUGAUGUNNNNNNNNNNNNNNNNNNNNNNNNNNNNNNNNNNNNNNNNNNNNNNNNNNNNNNNNNNNNNNNNNNNNNNNNNNNNNNNNNNNNNNNNNNNNNNNNNNNNCCCAAAAAAUUUUAAAAACUCCAAACAAGUGGAGAAUUGGGAGGGUACGAAGAAUGUGAGGAUUCCUCACAUUCUUCGUACCCUUGUUAAUUUUUUUGUAAUUUUGGAUUUGGAUUUUUUUGGAAAUCAUUUGACCACCUCCUAAGUGUAAUGAACCUAUUUAAACAACAUCCAAGCCAUAUGAUGUCCCAAAAAUUUUUAAAAACUCCAAAGAAGUGGAGAAUUGGUAGGGUACGAAGAAUGUGAGGAUUCCUUACAUUCUUUGUACCUUUGUUAAUUUUUUAGUAUGUUUGGAUUUGGAUUUUUCUGGAAAUCAUUUCACCACCUCCUAAGUGUAAUGAACCUAUUUAAACAAUAUACAAGCCAUAUGAAGUCCCAAAAAAUUUUAAAAACUUCAAACAAGUGGAGAAUUGGGAGGGUACGAAGAAUGUGAGGAAUCCUCACAUUCUUCAUACCCUUGUGAAUUUUUUAGUAUUUUUGGAUAUGGAUUUUUUCGAAUAUCAUUUGACCAUCUCCUAAGUGUAAUGAAUCUAUUUAAACAACAUCUAAGCCAUAUGAUGUCCCAAAAAAUUUUAAAAACUUCAAGCAAGUGGAGAAUUGGGAGGCUACGAAGAAUGUGAGGAUUCCUCACAUACUUCGUACCCUUGUUAAUUUUUUAGUAUUUUUGGAUUUCGAUUUUUUUGGAAAUCAUUUGACCACCUUCUAAGUGUAACGAACCUAUUUAAACAACAUCCAAGCCAUAUGAUGUCCCAAAAUUUUUUGAAUUUGUCGAGACAAUCUAUGCAUGAAUCCAACAUUUUACCACCUUACUUCAUUAACUAAUAAGCGGUUGACCGGUAUAGUGCUACCGGUUUGCCUAUAUUCUCAGCCGGUAGCCACUGCCAAUUCUUAUGCUGAAGCACCAAAAUGGGCAGUGUCUACCAGUGGCAAAAAAAAAUUUCAACCGCUUCAUAUGAUGGUCGACCGGUACACAAAUAUCUUUUACAUGUCAUUUAUGUUUUUGAUCCGGUCAUUCAUACACUCAAAUGGUAUUACCCAAUAAUGACAUAGAUUGGCCAAUUGUUGGUAGGGAUUGAAACCGCGAGUUUUGAAUAUAAGAGGAAACAAAAUUAAAGAAAAAAAAAAUACAUUUUUCUUACCACCAAUGCGUUGGCUUUUCAUAUGUCCUAACAUAACCUUAUUCAUCAUUCAUGAGAUGAUAUCACCCCACCUCAUAAUGUAUAAGACACUAUUACUUUCACCCAUGCACAUUACUUAGCCUAGCGGAUAUAGGGCAAUGGGAAAAAAUAAUGACACAUAGGGGUGACGACGAGACCAAAGCACCUUUCAAAUAUAUUAGUGUGACUACAAACAUGUAUGAUGAAGUAUCGAUUGGUCUGAACCAUUGUGUCUCAAGCAAUUUAAUACUCAUCUUGUACGAUCUCAUCUUCUCAUAAGAAUUAGCAACGCUAGAAUAUGCAAUAUGAAUGUUUUCAUUAAAAUAUUUUUGUGUAGAAUAAUUACAAGCAUAUUAGAAUAUUUUUCUAAACUAUUUUAAAAUAAAAAAUAUUAUAAAAAUAAUAAUAAUUAAUAAAUGAAAUAAAAUAAUAAAGUGACAAAUAACAUGUGGAAAAUUAUUUUAUAUAUGAUAUCAAAUUAUAUACAUCAUGAAAAAUAGUAAUAUCAUCAUUUAUGAUAGUAUAUCUCAUACCAUAACAAAUAUAUUCUAUGAAAUUUUAGUCAUAUUUAUUUUCACAAUAUUUUACAUUUUCCUUUUCUAUUUUUUUUUAAAUUUCUUUAAAUAAUCUCACUUUUUUUAGAAAAGAAAAAUAAGAAAUAAAAAACUUUUUCGAAAAGUAAAAAUAAAAAAUAAAACUAGACAACAUUUUCUCAACCAAAUGCAACUUAAAAUUUUCAUAAUAAUUCUAUAAAGUAAGAAGUUUUUUCAUAGUUUAAGUUACUCCGGGUAAAAUAAUUUUGAAAAUAAGCAUGUAUGUGACUAAUAGUUUUGAUUAGGUUUCAUUGAAAGAAGACUUUGACUAUGGGAACAAAUAGAAAAAUUAGUAAAUGGAAAAAGAUUGAGCUAAUAUUAAUGAUGCAUCAAGUGCCUCGUUGGACCAAACGUUCUUCCUUAACCAACUUUACAAACAUGAAUUUUAGGAUAUGAGAAUACAAAAUACGAUGACCACCAGAAAAAAGUAGGUUAUUUUGUUUUUUUUUUCCUGUAAAAAAAAAAAAUAUAAUGUUUUAUUAAUACUUUCUUUUUAACCUAUAAGUCUAGACUAAAUUUAUUAAGAUGAGUAACAUUUGAGGAAGGAAAAAAAAAAUAAAACCAAAGGAAAGGAAAGAAAAGAAAAUAUACCUUACCAAUUCCAAUAUAAAACAAAUUCUUAGCAAAAAAAAAAUAAAAAUAAUAAACAAUGAAAACAUGCUAGACAUUUGAAAAUUUGUCCACAGUACCUGAGAGAGCGUGGGAGAAGCAAGUAAAUGGGUGGGAGAGGGAAGAAGUGCAACUUCUCUCCACCAUUCUGUCAUUUCUUCAUAGACAGGCUCUAUUUGUUGUAGGGAGUGAAAGUGAGUUCAAUGGUUUCAUCCUCCCACCGCAACCCUUGCCACCACUCUGGUGUCCCUUCAAUUGUCUUUAAACUGUUUCUUGCACUGUUUGAAUCCAAUGGCAGCUUCCUUAGGUUUGGGCAUUCCAUCACGCAGAGGGUUUUCAAGGAAGGAAAUGGCAAAGCUUGUCUACUUAUGCUCCUUAGAUUUGGUAGGAGAUAUAAUCUCAAAUCUUCAAGUCUUGAGAAUAUGCCAAGAUUUUCAGGGACCCCACUCGCAUCACCUAUCACUUCUUCCAUGGAUUCACAUCCAUGUACAAUAAGACGUUCAAGACUUGGGAUGUAAAUAAGCCAUGUCAAGUCCAACAACUUUGGAAGUUGAUUAACAUGUACCCCGUGGAGGUUGUAGAAAAUUGAGUUUGGCAUAGAAUUUGCUACAAAUCCCCGUCUACCCCUCUCAUUUUCUAGGUUGACUUUUAUGUCUUGUAGCUCCCCACAUCUAUAUACUGUAAGGCUACGCAGAUGUUUGAUUCUUGGCAAUUGGAGUAUGCUCAUACCUUCCAAGUUCCAAAGUUCUAAAUCUCUCAUAGCAUUCAGUAAUUUUUGGGAGUUUAACAACUUUUGGAAAGACAGAGCACCUAUAAUGGGCAAAGAGACCCAAUUUAUGUGCUCCAACCCUUCUAACUCCUCUAAUAAUGCUUUAUUAUCCUCAUGUAAAUAAAUAGCCUUAUCAUCCUUCCUUGAAUAAUUGGCUUCCUCCUUCUCCUCCUCCGUGGAUGACGAAAUAUAAUUUCUUUUUGACAAGAGAUAUUUAAAUAUUGUGCUAAAAACUCUCAACAUUGAGAGAUGUGAUAUUACUUCCUUAGAAAUUAUUUCAAGACUACCAUCUAAUAUCAGAUAUCUUAGUCUUUUCAAAGUCGCAAGCUCCACAGACAAUUCUCUUAGAUCUGUAUUUGAAAAAUUGAGAUAUUGUAGUGUAACUAAUUUACCAAUUCCAGCAGGUAAUUUAGUUAUUCCAGUAUUUGACAAAUCCAAAACUUUUAUAACCGGCAUGAAAUGGAAGAAUCCACUUGGAAAUGUUUCCAGGUCUUCAUUCCCAACAAUUAAAGUCAAGAGAUUGGGAAAAGAUAGUGGUAUAGUGAGUUCUUCCAAACUAGUUGACAGGUAUAGCCGAUGUGCCUCUUUCCACUUUG